GGGGAUUUCAAGUUUCUUUUUUGCAAUGAAAUGCUGUUAGUGUUUUUCCUUAUAAAUGUUUUUUCUCCAAAAUUAAGAUCAAAGAUCUGUGAAUGAGAAGGCAAAUCAGGAGGGCUGGAAUCUGACUCAGUGGUAGAAAUCUAGCCUAGCAUUUGUGAGGUUAUGAGUUCAAUUCCCAACGCUACCAAAGGGGAAGAAAGAAUCUAAGGUCCAGGACACUGGGGUAGGGCCCAAUUGGAGGAGAUGAUGCUGUUACACACCCAGGACAGCAAAUUAUCUUUCUGAUCCUGUGCCAACCAGAUCCCUGACAGAGAUCAAAUUAACAAGCCUCUUCACGAGAACUAGACCAGGACAUGGACAUCAAAGAUGCCCCCCCAAAACCUCUCUUCACAGGACAUCUUGAGAAAUGGACACCCAUCACGAGACCAGCUCAUGUGAAUUCAGUUUUACUGCAUGCCUAGAACCCAGGACAACAACUAAAAGGCUUUCACACCAUCUACCAUGCUGCCAUCCUACCCCACUGUCCUCUGUCUCAGCUUUGGCUCUACCCUCACUUAACCCAGGCUCUCUUCCAACCCUUAAAACCACUCAUUGUAGCAUCCAGCCCCAUCCAUUCCCAGCCACUGCUGCCAAUAGAUAAACCAAAGAAGUCUUACUUGCCCCACCUGUCACUCUCUCAACCAUUAUAAAUCCUGACAGUUGGGGGAGUGAAGGCAUCUCUUCAAAAGUUCCAGGCUGCUGAUGCUGUGAUGAUGGAGAAAGAGGAGGCUCUUGGAAACAUAAUAAACAUAAUAAACACAUCUCAAAUCUC